rnacentral:rRNA from 1 species
AGUGAACGCUGGCGGUAGGCCUAACACAUGCAAGUCGAACGGCAGCACAGUAAGAGCUUGCUCUUACGGGUGGCGAGUGGCGGACGGGUGAGGAAUACAUCGGAAUCUACUUUUUCGUGGGGGAUAACGUAGGGAAACUUACGCUAAUACCGCAUACGACCUACGGGUGAAAGCAGGGGAUCUUCGGACCUUGCGCGAUUGAAUGAGCCGAUGUCGGAUUAGCUAGUUGGCGGGGUAAAGGCCCACCAAGGCGACGAUCCGUAGCUGGUCUGAGAGGAUGAUCAGCCACACUGGAACUGAGAAAAGGUCCAGACUCCUACGGGAGGCAGCAGUGGGGAAUAUUGGACAAUGGGCGCAAGACUGAUCCAGCCAUACCGCGUGGGUGAAGAAGGCCUUCGGGUUGUAAAGCACUUUUGUUGGGAAAGAAAAGCAGCAGGUUAAUACCCCGCUGUUCUGACGGUACCAAAAGAAUAAGCACCGGCUAACUUCGUG